rnacentral:rRNA from 1 species
UGCAUAGCCGACCUGAGAGGGUGAUCGGCCACACUGGAACUGAGACACGGUCCAGACUCCUACGGGAGGCAGCAGUAGGGAAUCUUCCGCAAUGGGCGAAAGCCUGACGGAGCAACGCCGCGUGAGUGAUGAAGGUCUUCGGAUCGUAAAACUCUGUUAUUAGGGAAGAACAUAUGUGUAAGUAACUGUGCACAUCUUGACGGUACCUAAUCAGAAAGCCACGGCUAACUACGUGCCAGCAGCCGCGGUAAUACGUAGGUGGCAAGCGUUAUCCGGAAUUAUUGGGCGUAAAGCGCGCGUAGGCGGUUUUUUAAGUCUGAUGUGAAAGCCCACGGCUCAACCGUGGAGGGUCAUUGGAAACUGGAAAACUUGAGUGCAGAAGAGGAAAGUGGAAUUCCAUGUGUAGCGGUGAAAUGCGCAGAGAUAUGGAGGAACACCAGUGGCGAAGGCGACUUUCUGGUCUGUA